ACAUGCGUUUGCCGUCACCGUCUUACAACCGCGCGACGUAGCGAAUUUAAUUUCAGGCGGAACGAUUUGCUGUCGGUUUUAAUAUUAGAGUGAAUUGACCUAUUGUACAACUUAAAGGUAAGGUUUUUUUUCGAUAUUUUUAUCUCUAAACGAGUCGUAAAUACUCUAAAAUAAUUGUGAUAUUCCGCAAACUUACAUAUCGUUAGAAAUUAAAACAACGUACAAGCACAGAUAAUAUAAUAGUCUUACGUUGAAUUUUUAUAAUGGGCCAAUUCAUUCAAAUAUUAGAACUGACAGCACAAAGUUGUUCCACGGGAACCC